CUGGCAUCCCUGCAGGGCCUGCGCAUGCCCCAUGUGGUGUCCGCUGACUGGCUGGUGUCCCCCAUGCUGCUGCACUCUGGCACUGUCCCCAUCUACAUGCAGAUGCUGGAAGCCUUGUCCCUGCCCCAGGAGGCCCUGGAGCUCCAUGUCUGGGCAAAGAGGCUCCAGCAUGAGUGGGGCUUGCCCAGCUUGUCUGCAAAGUCGCUGGGCGCGUUUACCCCCCAGGCACCAGAAUCAGCCGCCAAAAAACACCGACCAGAGUUCCACAUCCAGCUCCUCCUGCAGAAUCCACCCUGCGCACCCCAAGGCAGCUGGCACUGCUUGGAGCCACAGCCGGACCCCUUCCCGCACGACCAGACCAGCCAGUAUGUGUGAAGAAGUACUGCAAGGUCCGGCUUGGCACUUCCCCUGCCCUGGUGUCACAAUCCCAGAGAGCAGUGCCUGGGGAGGGGCGGGGGGCAGCUUGCCCAGGCGAUCGCCCCCAGCCAGAAAGCCCUGGUGCCCAGCAAGGCAGGGAGCAGACCAGGGCGAAGCAGUGGCUGUUCCCGGACAGCCUGUGUCGAGGCGUCAGGCUGGAGCUGGAGGAAGGUGGUGCGGAAGCUGGAGUCUGGCUUCUGGAGGUCGGCAUGGAGCCAGAGCCAUGGGCAUCAGCUGGAGGAAAACCUGUGCCAGGAGCCAGAGGUGCAGAAGGCCUGCCCUUAUGCCCUCGCACCCAGGCCUGGGGGGCGGCGUGUGCCCGGCCUGGCCUGUGUCUGCCAAGAAGCUCUCGCAGGCCAGCACCGAGAGCGAGCAGGAGAGGCUUGGGCCCCGGGCCAGCAAAGAGGAGGCCACCAGGCACCAGGACAGCGGCUGGAUGCCAAGGGGGACAAAAGGGGCUGCUCACGGGAGAAGAGGGCGCUGGUCGGCACUCGUCUGCCUGAGCCCUGCGCUUCAUCCCCACACACUGUGCAGUAUGCUGAUGAAAUCCUCUCUCUACCUAGCCUCUGUGUGGGUGUGCCCCUCUUCUGAGUGUGGGUGUGCAAACUGCUGGUGAACUUCAAGAAUUCAAUGGAGGAGGAUCCUGAAGAUCUGAGCUCUUCUGGUGGUGUGUAGGCAGUGGUGGCUAGAGCUGGGGUGAGGGCUGUACAACAGCUGGGCUCCCUGGGAUGGGUGCAGAGUCUGAAGCCCCUGUCCCUUCCCCCUGAGCCUGGGAUGAGCUCAGGAAGGAAGGGAGCUGAAGGGGAGCAGGUGAAGGGAAGCAGGUGACAGGGAAGGACCAGA
rnacentral:lncRNA from 1 species